rnacentral:rRNA from 1 species
UACGUAGGGGGCUAGCGUUGUCCGGAAUCAUUGGGCGUAAAGCGCGUGUAGGCGGUUCGGUAAGUCCGCUGUGAAAGUCGGGGGCUCAACCCUUGAAUGCCGGUGGAUACUGCAGGGCUAGAGUCCGGAAGAGGCGAGUGGAAUUCCUGGUGUAGCGGGUGGAAUGCGCAGAUAUCAGGAGGAACACCGGUGGCGAAGGCGGAUCUCUGGGCCUUACCUGACGCUGAGGAGCGAAAGCAUGGGGAG